CCUACGGGCGGCAGCAGUAGGGAAUAUUGGGCAAUGGCCGAGAGGCUGACCCAGCCAUGCCGCGUGCAGGAAGAAGGCCUUCUGGGUUGUAAACUGCUUUUAUCUAGGAAGAAAACGCCCAUGCGUGGGUAACUGACGGUACUAGAUGAAUAAGCACCGGCUAACUCCGUGCCAGCAGCCGCGGUAAUACGGAGGGUGCAAGCGUUGUUCGGAAUUACUGGGCGUAAAGGGCGUGUAGGCGGUUUGCCAAGUCAGAUGUGAAAGCCCCGGGCUUAACCUGGGAACUGCAUUUGAGACUGGCAGGCUAGAGGUUGGAAGAGGAGAGUGGAAUUCCCAGUGUAGAGGUGAAAUUCGUAGAUAUUGGGAAGAACACCAGUGGCGAAGGCGGCUCUCUGGUCCACACCUGACGCUGAGGCGCGAAAGCGUGGGGAGCAAACAGG
rnacentral:rRNA from 1 species